rnacentral:rRNA from 1 species
GAUGAACGCUGGCGGUAUGCUUAACAAAUGCAAGUCGAACGGACUCUUCGGAGUUAGUGGCGGACGGGUGAGUAACGCGUGAGAAUCUGGCUUUGGGUUCGGGACAACCACUGGAAACGGUGGCUAAUACCGGAUGUGCCGAGAGGUAAAAGAGAAAUUGCCUGAAGAUGAGCUCGCGUCUGAUUAGCUAGUUGGUGAGGUAAAGGCUCACCAAGGCAGCGAUCAGUAGCUGGUCUGAGAGGAUGACCAGCCACACUGGGACUGAGACACGGCCCAGACUCCUACGGGAGGCAGCAGUGGGGAAUUUUCCGCAAUGGGCGAAAGCCUGACGGAGCAAUACCGCGUGAGGGAAGAAGGCUCUUGGGUUGUAAACCUCUUUUCUUAGGGAAGAACAAAAUGACGGUACCUAAGGAAUCAGCAUCGGCUAACUCCGUG